UACGGGGGGGGCAAGCGUUGUUCGGAAUUACUGGGCGUAAAGGGCUCGUAGGCGGCCAACUAAGUCGGAUGUGAAAUCCCCAGGCUUAACCUGGGAACUGCAUCCGAUACUGGAUGGCUUGAAUCCGGGAGAGGGAUGCAGAAUUCCAGGUGUAGCGGUGAAAUGCGUAGAUAUCGAGAGGAACACCUGCGGCGAAGGCGGGUUGCUGGGCCGACACUGACGCUGAGGCGCGAAAGCCAGGGGAGCGAACGGG
rnacentral:rRNA from 1 species